UUCAAUGUCAAAACAGAAGGAUAAUGCAGGAUUCUGUAGAUGACAAAUAAAUAUUCAGGAUAGAUAAUCACCACUGAAUCAUGAACUAAUUAAUUAAUUGUCAUCUGUACAUACAAUUUCCCAAUGUUAUCUGUAUAUAAAAUUUCCCCAAUGCUGUUUCCUAGUUUAUUGCCUAGAUUUAUUCAUAUUGGCAAGGAGUUAGACAUUGUUAACACUAUGUAUGGGAUCUUUCUGGUACAAAUACAAAGUGGUUAUAUGUUCUAUGGUUAUUUUUGCAAAAGGUUAUGACAAAAGGGGUAACAUGAUGAAGUUACCACUUCAAAUUGAAUUUGUGGCUAUUCUCUACUCUCAAGCACAAGUAAUAAUCCUAGUCCUUGCCCUUGAUGUGACCAAUGGGAAAACAGCCUUCACCCGGUGAAUCACAACAUGUUGUGACUGAAAUCAAAGAUGGAGCUUAUCCAGUGAUUUCAAUAGGUGCUCGGGCGCUCGCCUAGGCGCUCGGGCGAGGCGAGGCGAGGCCCGAGCACCUCGCUUCAUGUCCAAGCACCUCGCUUCAACGAGGCGCCGCCUAGGCGUUCGCCCGAGCCCAGGCGCCGGGCGCUUCGGGCAAGCGCCCGGGUUAAACCAAGCGAUCGAACCAAUGUUUUACGUAUGGUUCGAUCUCCGGUGCUUUAGUUGGUUCAAUCAAACCAACUAAAUCACCGAUAGGCUCCCUCUCGCGAUUUCCCCGACUUCCCCAACCCUAACACUCGCGAUUUUGUCGUCAAGAUUUCUUCUCCGCUUUCGCUGCUCUCUACUGCCGCUGCCACUGUCGCUACUCGCCGCUGCCACAACCGCUGCUCACUGACUUCUCACCGCUGCCACAAUCGUCGCUCGUCACUACUGUCAUCGCUCGCCGCUCCCGCUCCCACUCUCGCUAUCGCUCGCGGCUCCCGCUGUAGCUACCGCUCGCCGCUCCCGCUCCAGCUACCGCUGUCGUUGCCUCAACAGCCUUGGUCUUCUCACACUCUUCUCACUAUAUUGUUAACAAUAUAUUAACAGUAUAUUGCUUACUGUAUACUAAUAAUAGUAUUUUUAUUUAUUAGAUUAAUAAUAUAUUAUUUUGAUUUUAAUGCUAUUAAUUUUUAUUUAUUUAAAAUUAUUGUUAAGUUUCAGAAUAAAUGGCAAGUGUAUAGAGCAACUCAAUAGAUUUCAUGUAAAAUUUUAUUGUUUUGAUUUUUGAGACUUUUUAUUAAUAUAACAUUAUGAUUUUGUACCUAAUUUUCUUAAUUUAAUAGUCUAUUUUUUAUUUAAAUAAUUUAUAUUAAUUAUAUUAUAUAUUUUUAUAUUUUAGCGUCUCGCUUCGUUCGAGCGAGCGCCUGGGCGAGCGCCUAGCGCCUUAGGCAUUUUUGGACCUUAAUGCCUUUUGGCGCCUAGGGCUUUUUAAAUCACUGAGCUUAUGAGAGGACUGCACACUGGAGCGAGGUAGUACUUUGCUUAUAUUAAUUGUAUGUCAUUUUCCGUUUUCUUUUCAAUAUGACGAUGGAUAGAUCUAAUAUAUAGCAAUUUUUUUUUUCUUUUACCUGUUUAUAUAUUAUUUUAUCUUGUGUGCGCACCAUGCUGAGGCACAACUUAAUAU
rnacentral:lncRNA from 1 species